AUGACUGGACCGCAUGAUCCGGUCAUCAAAGAUUUUAUCGCUGAAAGAUGGGCUCGCUUCUGAUUAGUUAGUUGGUGGGGUAACGGCCCACCAAGUCGACGAUCAGUAGCCGGAUUGAGAGGUUGAACGGCCACAUUGGGAUUGAGAUACGGCCCAGAUUCUUACGGGAGGCAGCAGUGGGGAAUAUUGGGCAAUGGGGGCAACCUUGACCCAGCAACGCCGCGUGAAGGAAGAAGGCUUUCGGGUUGUAAACUUCUUUUACCGAGGACGAAGAACGUGACGGUAUUCGGAGAAAAAGCCACGGCUAACUACGUGCCAGCAGCCGCGGUAAUACGUAGGUGGCAAGCGUUGUCCGGAAUUACUGGGUGUAAAGGGCGUGUAGGCGGAGCGGCAAGUCAGAAGUGAAAUUUCUGGGCUCAACCCGGAAACUGCUUUUGAAACUGUCGCCCUUGAGUAUCGGAGAGGCAGGCGGAAUUCCUAGUGUAGCGGUGAAAUGCGUAGAUAUUAGGAGGAACUCCAGUGGCGAAGGCGGCCUGCUGGACGACAACUGACGUUGAGGCGCGAAAGCGUGGGGAGCAAACAGGAUUAGAUCCCCUGGUAGUCCACCCCGUAAACAAUGGAUAUUAGGGUGUGGGGGGAUUGACCCCCUCCGUGCCGCAGUAAACACAAUAAGUAUCCCACCUGGGGAGUACGACCGCAAGGUUGAAACUCAAAGGAAUUGACGGGGGCCCGCACAAGCAGUGGAUUAUGUGGUUUAAUUCGACGCAACGCGAAGAACCUUACCGGGAUUUGACAUCCUGCUAACGAAGUAGAGAUACAUCAGGUGCCCUUCGGGGAAAGCAGAGACAGGUGGUGCAUGGUUGUCGUCAGCUCGUGUCGUGAGAUGUUGGGUUAAGUCCCGCAACGAGCGCAACUCUUAUUGUUAGUUGCUACGCAUGAGCACUCUAGCGAGACUGCCGUUGACAAAACGGAGGAAGGCGGGGACGACGUCAAAUCAUCAUGCCCCUUAUGUCCCGGGCUACACACGUAAUACAAUGGCGUUAAACAGAGGGAAGCAAAGCCGCGAGGCAGAGCAAAACCCUAAAAGGCGUCUCAGUUCGGAUCGCAGUCUGCAACUCGACUGCGUGAAGUUGGAAUUGCUAGUAAUCGCGGAUCAGCAUGCCGCGGUGAAUACGUUCCCGGGCCUUGCACACACCGCCCGUCA
rnacentral:rRNA from 1 species